GCUUGUGGCAGCGCCAUUUUGAAUGUGCGGCUGCCGCGGGCGUUAGUUCGGUAGGCAGGGCUGCGGGCUCCGGCUUCCAGCAGUUUCCUUACUUUCUCUGCUUCGUUUCCAUAGAUACAUGUAGAGACGUAUACAUACAUACAUCUAGGCCUGUAUCCGGUGUUUGAGGCGAACUCCUUAAGAUGAUGUUAAGAGGAAACCUGAAGCAAGUGCGCAUUGAGAAAAACCCGGCCCGUCUACGCGCGCUUGAAUCCGCAGCCGGCGAGAACGAGCCGGUGGCCGCGGCGGCCAUGGCGCUGGCGCUGGCGGGAGAGCAGGCACCGCCUGCCCCAGGGCCCCCGGAGGAUCACCCGGAGGAAGAGAUGGGGUUCACCAUUGACAUCAAGAGUUUCCUAAAGCCGGGUGAGAAGACGUACACUCAGCGUUGCCGCCUCUUUGUAGGGAAUCUGCCCACCGACAUCACCGAGGAGGAUUUCAAGAGACUCUUCGAGCGCUACGGCGAGCCCAGCGAGGUCUUCAUCAACCGGGACCGUGGCUUCGGCUUCAUCCGCUUGGAAUCCAGAACAUUGGCUGAAAUUGCAAAAGCAGAGCUGGAUGGCACCAUUUUGAAGAGUAGACCUCUCCGAAUUCGUUUUGCUACACAUGGAGCAGCCCUAACGGUCAAGAACCUUUCUCCAGUUGUUUCCAAUGAGCUUCUAGAACAAGCAUUUUCCCAGUUUGGUCCAGUAGAGAAAGCCGUUGUGGUUGUGGAUGAUCGUGGUAGAGCUACAGGAAAAGGUUUUGUAGAAUUUGCAGCAAAACCUCCUGCACGAAAGGCUCUGGAAAGAUGUGGUGAUGGGGCGUUCUUGCUAACAACUACUCCUCGUCCAGUCAUUGUGGAGCCCAUGGAGCAGUUUGAUGAUGAAGAUGGCUUGCCAGAGAAGCUAAUGCAGAAAACUCAGCAAUAUCAUAAGGAAAGAGAACAGCCACCACGUUUUGCUCAACCUGGAACAUUUGAGUUUGAGUAUGCAUCUCGAUGGAAGGCUCUUGAUGAAAUGGAAAAACAGCAGCGUGAGCAGGUUGAUAGAAACAUCAGAGAAGCCAAAGAAAAACUGGAGGCAGAAAUGGAAGCAGCUAGGCAUGAACACCAAUUAAUGCUAAUGAGGCAAGAUCUGAUGAGACGUCAAGAAGAACUCAGACGCUUAGAAGAACUCAGAAACCAAGAGCUGCAGAAACGAAAGCAAAUACAGCUGAGACAUGAAGAGGAACAUCGUCGGCGUGAGGAAGAAAUGAUCCGACAUAGAGAACAGGAGGAAUUGAGGCGACAGCAGGAAGGCUUUAAACCAAACUAUAUGGAAAAUAGAGAACAGGAAAUGAGAAUGGGUGAUAUGGGUCCCCGUGGAGCAAUAAACAUGGGAGAUGCGUUUAGCCCAGCACCUGCUGGUAACCAAGGUCCUCCUCCAAUGAUGGGUAUGAAUAUGAACAACAGAGGAACUAUACCUGGCCCACCAAUGGGUCCUGGUCCUGCCAUGGGACCAGAAGGAGCUGCAAAUAUGGGAACUCCAAUGAUGCCAGAUAAUGGAGCAGUGGGUAAUAAAAGACGACAUGGAUGAAGCUUCUGAAACUCCAGCUUCCAGGAUAAUUCAGAAGAGUUAAAGACCAAAAAUGCUACAAUCAUACUUUAUUUCAGCUUCUGUAGGUGUGGUGCUGGAGACAAGUGAUGGCAUUGCCUGAGAGCUUAUUAGAAAUUCAGGAUCUGCAGCCAGACUCAGAAUGAUCUCCUGAAUCAGAAUGUCCAUUUUAACAAGGCCCCAGAAGGUGUGAGCACAUUGAGAAGCACUGAUGGGUCCCAUAACCUUUCUAAGGUCAAAUCACUGGAGAAACAAGCCAGAAAACACUAUGGAUUCUUCCACAUGAACAAUUUAUAGAUGAAUGAGUAAUCAUAACACUCUGUGUCCCAGGGCAACAUUUUCUGCAGUUAAAAGUGGUUAUCUAGAUCAUAAACUUAAGUUUCCAAAUUAAAUCUAGGUGUUACCUACUACUGGGUGUGGUGGUGGUCUUACUGGCUGAUUUUGAAAAAUAUUAUGGUACAGCUCACAAACUCAAAAAUUAUGAAUAAACCUCCUUUUCAAACUUCCUUACUGAAACCA